AUGGCUGCACCUAUAGCACAUUUCGACGACGACUGGCCGAACCUGGGUGAUCCGAGCAUGGUGUCACAGGAAGGGCUGCUGCCGCAGAAAGGCCGUGUCGCCGCCGCCGCCGUGAGCGAAGCGGCGCCCGAAUCGCUCCUGUUUGGCGGUGAUGAUGAUGAUGAUCUGCACGACAGCAGCUUCUCCCCUAGAGAGAACGCGGGGUUCCGGUCCAUGGAGGAUCUGGUGAACGAUUUCGAUGAGAAGUUAACCACGUGCUUCCAAAUUUUUGACGCCAAGACGGAGAGCAUCGCUCCCGUGGCCGUGAUCGCCGAGGACACGCUGCUGGAGAAAGACGACAUCUGGAACACUUUGACGGCUAACUACGGACAUGUGAUGCCGGUGGACUGGAAACGUUCUCGAACGCGCUCCCUCCACGUUCCCACAAUCGACCUGGAGGAGAAACCCAGAAAGGCAGAUGUCGCGUUGGAGCUGUCCGACGAUGAGGAGCUCAGGGAUCAGCUAGACAUGCACGCCAUCAUUGUUUCCUGCAUCGCAGAGGAGCCCCUUUUCACAGCAGAGCAGGUUAUUGAGGAGAUAGAGGAAAUGAUGCAGGACUCUCCUGACAUGGAGGCAGAGCAUAAUCCGUCACAGUCGGACCUGUCGAUGCUCUCUGUGGACGUCCAGCAGCCCAACAGCUGCCCUGACUACGAGGAGAGGAUGAAAGCCUUGAGCAUUGCAGAGCUGAAUGAGCGUCUGGAGGAGACUGAAAUGAAGAUCAGGAGGUUUUCAGAGGAGCUGGUUCAGCAGCUGGCUCUCAGGGACGAGCUGGACUUUGAGAAAGAGGUGAAGAACAGUUUCAUCUCAGCCCUCAUCGACGUGCAGAACCGGCAGAAGGAGUACCGCGAGGCGCUCAAGAAGAAGAAGAAGCUUAAAGGUGGAGCUGGGACAUCGCAAGGUCUUCCGGAGAAAACAUCUCGCUUCAGCAUGGAGGGGAUCUCCUCUGUUAUCCAAAACAGUUUCCGUCAAACUUUUGGGAGCGGGUGCAGUGAGAGACAGUAUUUGACCACAGUCAUCCCUUACGAGAAGAAGGGACAUCCUCCUUCGAUUGAAGACCUCCAGAUAUUGACCAAGAUUCUGCAAGCUAUGAGAGAUGAUAGUGACAAGGUGCCCAGCCUCCUAACAGACUACAUUCUCAAAGGUGAGCUUUUCUCUUGUGUUGUUACACAGGCUGCUUUACAUUUGAAGUAAAAUAACAUCACAGAGAGACUCCCAACAAUCCCGUGUUGGCAGUAUGUCUGCAUAUGUCACCCUUGUUCCACAUAACCCAAAAGAUCAAUAGCAGUCAAUUAUUACUGUGCUGAUGACGUAAGCUCAAAGGGACGCGGCUGCGGUUAUAUAUGCUGCGAACAUAUGUUGUGAAUCAUUGAUGCUCAAAUUCGUUUGAUUUCAGUUCAUUACAAAAUCCUCUGAAAGCUUCAACGUGAGUUUUUAACUCCAAGCUAGACUGUGAGAGUUUUAAACAAGCCUUUAGGGGGUGACUUUGGCCUGUGUACAGUGAUGAAAGCGGGUCUUCUCUAUUACCCCAUUAAAGCAUCGUCACCUUAUGUGUCGCCUUUUGAUAUGCCUGUUGUGGAGUUGGCUUAAAGUUUUUUGGAGACGUAAUAAAAGCUGAUUGUGUAAAAGUCUAAAUUUAACAUCUGGUUUCUUGCUGGUAAAUCUUCAUUAAGUAUUUUCCUUCAAAAUCACUUUCAGAUUGUAAUGAAAUCAGCAAUAAAUGUGGAAAAUUACUUUUGGUACCACUUUUAUAAUAGGGUCUGAACUAAGGGUGUAAUUCAACCGGAAUUUACUGGAAUUAAUAUCAUUUAGUCUGAAAUUACAGUGUGAUUAUGUUAAUCUACACAUACUUAUGGGUGAAUGAACUACAAUAAGGAGUGUAUCAGCAGGGUAUAAGAAGUCAAGUUUUUACUGGAAAAAUGUUUUACUGCAAGUAAUUUCAUUGUAAUUUUACAGGAGGAAACACAUUAUAUAGGAAGUAAGAAAAAUGAUAUAGUAAGUACAUAGUAACUAAUUUUAAAUAGUGCGUGAAUUACUUUAAAGUAGUGCAAAAUUCAUUGUAAGAGGUGUGUUACUUCCAGGUAAUUUUGCGGAAGAGUGUAGUGUAGUAGCUUUUGUGUACAAACACAAAAUAAACCAAAGAUAUGACUGAAAUGUACAAAUGAAAAACAAACCUAAAAGUAUUCAUAGCUAAAAAAAAAACCCAGUUUAUUCUUGUUGUGAAUGUGCAUUAAAAUGAUUCUAUUAGUCUUUUUUCACUCAUAUUAAUCAGGUUUUUUUUACCCCUCUGUCAUAAAAGGCUAAUGGGGUUAAAAUGCUGAUGUCAUCCACCCACAGUAGUUAUUUCUUUCUUCACCCUGCCCGGUGGAUGGGUGGGUGGCAUGAACGCCCAAGUCUGUAAAUCACUGACUCCAUCACUGUACGACUUCAUGGGCCUUGAUGGACGUCCUGCGAUGUUUGGUGGAGUUUGUUUUUCUUGUAAGGACUGAAAGGAAGAACGGUCCUUAUCACAUGUUAUAUAACAGGACAGGUGAAUAGUGGAACAUCCAUAAAGCAAAAAGACGAGUUCAGUCCACCACUGCUUACAGUUACUUACACACUAUUUAAAAUUGCUCUCAGUAUAAUUUGAGUCUCCUUUCCUGUAAAAACCUGAACUGUUACCCUUUUAUUCUGCACUGUGUACUGGAUAAGGAUUCGUAGGUAAAUACACUGUAAUUUCAUUUAAUUUUUGGUGAAUUACACCCUUAGCAAUGGGUCAUAUUUUAAAAAUGCUACUUGAAUUGUAAACACUGUGCACAUGAUGUUUACCGAGUACAGAGCUUUAGUAUCUCUGAACAUUUGCAGUCUGUCUUUUUGACUGUCGUCCACAUUUCACUUUCUGUUUCAUGUCUUUAUUUUUUCUUCCUGUAUUUCUUUUGUGCUAUUCUUCAUAACAAAUCGCUGCCCCACACUCGUAGCUCUGGUGUGAGCCCUGGAUGGAGAGGUUUGUGACAGUUCGAUUAUGAGUGUUGUGGUGGUGUUACUCAUAAUGAGAGAGCGCCUCCUCCUGACCGCUGAACUGUAGUGCAGAAUGACCCCGAUGCUUUCCCUCGCACUUCCCCUCUCUCCUGCACGGUUGUUAGUGUCUAGACCUGCAGACUGUGACUCACAACCACUCACAUAGAGAUCUGUUUACCUAGCACUUAAUAUAUGAGACACUGCUAUAAUGAUUAAUAGUUAUUAAUCUCAGCUAAGGCUGUAUUUGAAUCACUCGACCUGCACCAGAAAUGGGUUUAGUUGCUCACGUGCAUCCUUUUGUUUUUCCUCAUCUUUAUCUCCUGGAUUGUAAUUAAUGCCUCAUACUGAGGCUGUGUCAGCGGCUCCAUCGCGGCUUUGUUAAUAUUGAU